UUAAGCGACUAAGCGUACACGGUGGAUGCCCUGGCAGUCAGAGGCGAUGAAGGACGUGCUAAUCUGCGAUAAGCGUCGGUAAGGUGAUAUGAACCGUUAUAACCGGCGAUUUCCGAAUGGGGAAACCCAGUGUGAUUCGUCACACUAUCAUUAACUGAAUCCAUAGGUUAAUGAGGCGAACCGGGGGAACUGAAACAUCUAAGUACCCCGAGGAAAAGAAAUCAACCGAGAUUCCCCCAGUAGCGGCGAGCGAACGGGGAGCAGCCCAGAGCCUGAAUCAGUGUGUGUGUUAGUGGAAGCGUCUGGAAAGGCGUGCGAUACAGGGUGACAGCCCCGUACACAAAAAUGCACAUACUGUGAGCUCGAUGAGUAGGGCGGGACACGUGGUAUCCUGUCUGAAUAUGGGGGGACCAUCCUCCAAGGCUAAAUACUCCUGACUGACCGAUAGUGAACCAGUACCGUGAGGGAAAGGCGAAAAGAACCCCGGCGAGGGGAGUGAAAAAGAACCUGAAACCGUGUACGUACAAGCAGUGGGAGCACGCUUAGGCGUGUGACUGCGUACCUUUUGUAUAAUGGGUCAGCGACUUAUAUUCUGUAGCAAGGUUAACCGAAUAGGGGAGCCGAAGGGAAACCGAGUCUUAACUGGGCGUUAAGUUGCAGGGUAUAGACCCGAAACCCGGUGAUCUAGCCAUGGGCAGGUUGAAGGUUGGGUAACACUAACUGGAGGACCGAACCGACUAAUGUUGAAAAAUUAGCGGAUGACUUGUGGCUGGGGGUGAAAGGCCAAUCAAACCGGGAGAUAGCUGGUUCUCCCCGAAAGCUAUUUAGGUAGCGCCUCGUGAAUUCAUCUCCGGGGGUAGAGCACUGUUUCGGCAAGGGGGUCAUCCCGACUUACCAACCCGAUGCAAACUGCGAAUACCGGAGAAUGUUAUCACGGGAGACACACGGCGGGUGCUAACGUCCGUCGUGAAGAGGGAAACAACCCAGACCGCCAGCUAAGGUCCCAAAGUCAUGGUUAAGUGGGAAACGAUGUGGGAAGGCCCAGACAGCCAGGAUGUUGGCUUAGAAGCAGCCAUCAUUUAAAGAAAGCGUAAUAGCUCACUGGUCGAGUCGGCCUGCGCGGAAGAUGUAACGGGGCUAAACCAUGCACCGAAGCUGCGGCAGCGACGCUUAUGCGUUGUUGGGUAGGGGAGCGUUCUGUAAGCCUGUGAAGGUGUGCUGUGAGGUAUGCUGGAGGUAUCAGAAGUGCGAAUGCUGACAUAAGUAACGAUAAAGCGGGUGAAAAGCCCGCUCGCCGGAAGACCAAGGGUUCCUGUCCAACGUUAAUCGGGGCAGGGUGAGUCGACCCCUAAGGCGAGGCCGAAAGGCGUAGUCGAUGGGAAACAGGUUAAUAUUCCUGUACUUGGUGUUACUGCGAAGGGGGGACGGAGAAGGCUAUGUUGGCCGGGCGACGGUUGUCCCGGUUUAAGCGUGUAGGCUGGUUUUCCAGGCAAAUCCGGAAAAUCAAGGCCGAGGCGUGAUGACGAGGCACUACGGUGCUGAAGCAACAAAUGCCCUGCUUCCAGGAAAAGCCUCUAAGCAUCAGGUAACAUCAAAUCGUACCCCAAACCGACACAGGUGGUCAGGUAGAGAAUACCAAGGCGCUUGAGAGAACUCGGGUGAAGGAACUAGGCAAAAUGGUGCCGUAACUUCGGGAGAAGGCACGCUGAUACGUAGGUGAAGCGACUUGCUCGUGGAGCUGAAAUCAGUCGAAGAUACCAGCUGGCUGCAACUGUUUAUUAAAAACACAGCACUGUGCAAACACGAAAGUGGACGUAUACGGUGUGACGCCUGCCCGGUGCCGGAAGGUUAAUUGAUGGGGUUAGCGCAAGCGAAGCUCUUGAUCGAAGCCCCGGUAAACGGCGGCCGUAACUAUAACGGUCCUAAGGUAGCGAAAUUCCUUGUCGGGUAAGUUCCGACCUGCACGAAUGGCGUAAUGAUGGCCAGGCUGUCUCCACCCGAGACUCAGUGAAAUUGAACUCGCUGUGAAGAUGCAGUGUACCCGCGGCAAGACGGAAAGACCCCGUGAACCUUUACUAUAGCUUGACACUGAACAUUGAGCCUUGAUGUGUAGGAUAGGUGGGAGGCUUUGAAGUGUGGACGCCAGUCUGCAUGGAGCCGACCUUGAAAUACCACCCUUUAAUGUUUGAUGUUCUAACGUGGACCCGUGAUCCGGGUUGCGGACAGUGUCUGGUGGGUAGUUUGACUGGGGCGGUCUCCUCCUAAAGAGUAACGGAGGAGCACGAAGGUUGGCUAAUCCUGGUCGGACAUCAGGAGGUUAGUGCAAUGGCAUAAGCCAGCUUGACUGCGAGCGUGACGGCGCGAGCAGGUGCGAAAGCAGGUCAUAGUGAUCCGGUGGUUCUGAAUGGAAGGGCCAUCGCUCAACGGAUAAAAGGUACUCCGGGGAUAACAGGCUGAUACCGCCCAAGAGUUCAUAUCGACGGCGGUGUUUGGCACCUCGAUGUCGGCUCAUCACAUCCUGGGGCUGAAGUAGGUCCCAAGGGUAUGGCUGUUCGCCAUUUAAAGUGGUACGCGAGCUGGGUUUAGAACGUCGUGAGACAGUUCGGUCCCUAUCUGCCGUGGGCGCUGGAGAACUGAGGGGGGCUGCUCCUAGUACGAGAGGACCGGAGUGGACGCAUCACUGGUGUUCGGGUUGUCAUGCCAAUGGCACUGCCCGGUAGCUAAAUGCGGAAGAGAUAAGUGCUGAAAGCAUCUAAGCACGAAACUUGCCCCGAGAUGAGUUCUCCCUGACCCUUUAAGGGUCCUGAAGGAACGUUGAAGACGACGACGUUGAUAGGCCGGGUGUGUAAGCGCAGCGAUGCGUUGAGCUAACCGGUACUAAUGAACCGUGAGGCUUAACCU
rnacentral:rRNA from 1 species